UUUAACAAAAAGAACAGGAAAUCUAAAACUCAAGGCGUGCUACAAGACCGUGUGAAACGAUACGGGAAAAGUGCUGUGAUCAAUCUCAACGCCCCUAAUUGCUCUGAGAUCCAGAUAAUGAGCAUCUUCUGAGGCAGGCGCAACAUGGAAAAGGUCAUUCCAUGCCUAAAGCCAUAGUUUCCAAAACAACAGAGCGUGCUCAUCCUGGCUUACUUUGUUGAAUCACUGAGGGCUGCUCUAAUGUGUAGAUACUCUGUGAGAAUCCAAAUGGUGCCCCUGGAAGUCGGGUGAAGAUGACAGUUCUGUAUCAGAAACUAAUAUUUCAGAGCACACACGUCAUGACCAGCGGACUUUUAGAGGAAUUUUUCUAUUUGAAGAAAGGACUAGUUGUUACAUGUUCUGAUUCUUACAUAUCUGCAAUAUAUGGCCGCAUCCCAGUGCAUUGGACUGCAGCAGAGAACCAGUUUCUUAUAUAUCUUACAUGCAUACAUUCAUACAUACAUACAUACAUACAUGCACACACACGCCUGCAGGUUGAGGAUGUGGCCACACCAAUGACACAGGACAUGUGACUCCUUCAGGUCUAGGUAGCCAGGCUGUUGAAACCAAAGAAUAAACAUCGCCAGCUAGAAAACUUUCUUCAUCAGCUGCCCCAAGUGACCUUUGAAAAAAGUCUGCCUUCCCAAGCUAGGCAUGGUGGCACGCGCCUUUAAUUCAGGUGCAUCUCUGAGUGCGAGGCCAGUCUGGUCUACAAAGUGAGUUCCAAGACAGAGCUAUACAAAGAAGCCCUGCCUCUGGGCCGGGAGGGUAUAUGGGGGCGGUGCCUUCCUUGGCCACUGAUAGCUGUCACAAAGCUUUCUGACUCAGCUUCCUGCCUCUGACCCUUGCCAUCUCUGCUACCUAGUGAUGGUUCCUCAGGGGGUAAACAAGAAGAGCUGGGAUGGCCAACCACACCUCUGAUCCCAGUGCCUGAGACUCAGGCUGCCCUGCAAGUUGGUAGUCUGUUCUUUGUAGAAAGUUCCAGGCUGGUCAGGACUGAACCAAGACCCUGACUCAAAAGAGACACUAACAACCUCUGUAAGAAUGGCCACUUCAUGCUUUGAAUUGUUCCAUGGCCUUUUGUCACACCGAGAGUAAGGUCAGCAUUACCUAAUGCUUCCCCAAACAGCCCAGUUUGUUGACUUUCUCCAGUCCAACUACUCCAGCCUCUUUGAAAAUGUUGAUCUAGCACAUCCCCCACUCUUGGCUCUCAUUUGUUCAGCCUCCUUCCCAGAGUUCCCGUGCCUGAUUCUAUCUGGCUUUCCGUUCAGUUGCUUUUGCUCUGUUGUCACCUCCUUGAUGGGGUGUCCCCUCAUCAGCAUGCCCAGAAGGUUAAAAUUAGUGUAGGCCCAGAGUUCAGCAGUACCAGGACUGGGCCCUGCCAGUGACUGGAAGUAAGGCCCUGACUAAGCUGUAUAACUUUCCUAUGUUUCUGUAGAGUCCAGAUAACUCUUGCUUUAGGAGUCACAGAAAUGUUAAAAAGUCAUUAUCUAAUCACUACACAUGGUUUCAAAGCCUGACUCAGCUAGGUCCUAAAGUAGCACACAAGGCAACGUGCUAAGCAGUGCACACAUAUUCCUCCCGACACUAUAAUGAUGAGAGCGUUUUUCCACUUUGUCGAUGAAGACUGUGAUCUCCGGAGAAGUUGUGUCAUGCGUAAGUGUGAAUGUGGCCCGGCUUUGAGGCCUGAUCUUCAGCCGCUCAUCCCCAGAGGAAUUAAUAGGCUUGGGUGGUCAUAUCUGAGCUUGCGACCACUCAGGAGAGGACAAAAUGGGCACCGGUAGCCAAGGAUAGAGUCGGUGAGCAUGGGGUCAGCGAGGACUGUCUUAUUUAUAGAGUGGUUGUUGGUUACAAAUGCUAACCAACUGUUACUGCCCGAGUACAACAUAAGUUUGUAUUUUACUGGCUAUUAAUUAUGCCCAUUCAACACACACUUCAGUCCUUCAGAUUUCAAAAUCUGUCAGCUGAUUAGGUCCUGAAGUCAGUUUGUUUAAUGCUUAGAAGUUCUCCCAAUCCAGUCUCUUCAUUGACACAGAUGUGCUAAAAUAGAUAAACAGCUAUUUUCUAGUUUGUAGUACCUGUAGUCUCUAACUCUAUAUUUGUUUUCUCUACAACAGGCUAGGUGGGGGUGGGUUUGUUUUGUUUUUUUGAGACAGGGUUACUCUGUGUACCCUUGGCUGUCCAGAACUUGUUGGUUUGCAGUCCUAGAGUCUGAGAAGUUGAGGCUUCUGGUGGGGGUAUAGAUGAGCUUCAGCUCACAGUAGGAGGCAGAAGGAAAGAGAGGGAGGAAGAGCCCCAUGCAAGGCUGGGGAAGUACCAAGUGCACAGUCUAACAACGCACAGAUUCCUUCAUGAGGAUGGAGUCACGCAAGCCAGCGACCAACCACUUCUCAGCGCCAUUGUGGGCCAAGUCAACAUGGAUUCAGGGCACACCAUACUCCUUUUAUUCAUAGUUUUCAAGUGUUUGUCCCUUCUAGCCACUGCUGUAGUCAGUAAUAACACCUAAGCAUUGCCCAGUGUCUGCCCCAUAUGUCUCUUCUUACCUGGGAGCCCCUUGGAGGCUUCAGUGUAGAAUGUCUCCAGGAAUUCACGCUGAACUCGGGAAUGACCGAAGCUAAUGACCGUAGAGUUACUCUUGAUGGCUGUCUGAGAAGAGCCUUGUUCUGAUUUCCAGAGCAGGCCAGUUUGGAGAUGUGUUCCAUCUGCAGAUGAUCAUGAUCCUAUAGAGGCGAGCCUCGUAAGUAGGGACCACAACUCCAUGACGGGGAAACUGAAGGAAAGAUGGUCACAAAGACUCUUGCCAACCGUAAACGGUUUUUGAAUACAUGAACCCACUGUCUGCCUCCACCUGGAAGCACUUGAUUGAGUCACCAGCCCCCAGGGACAGGAGGAAGCAGGAGUCUAAAUGGUAAUUACACAGCCAGGUGACCUUCAUUGAGCGGUGGCUUGAGAGCAAAGUGGUUCUAAAUGCUCAAAAGAUUUGGUGUUGAGCCAACCUAUUUCUUGCUCAGCUUUCCUGGGAAAUUGGGAGUGCAGUGCUCACAGUGUGUGAGAUUUAAAGAGGAGGCGUGGCAAAUGCAGGCAUUUAUAUCCCUGGCUCGAAAAAGCAGAGGGACCAAGACACUAGAGUCCACCGAGAGGUUGUUUUUUAUUGCGAAUAGCUUUGGCUCAUUUGCAGGUCAAGAACAGCCAAUAAAUAUGGCGAAACAGCAGGUGUUCUAAAGAAAGCCUGGGUCAGCAGGACUCCCAGUAGAGGGGGGAGGACACCAACCCACCCAUAAAACCUUCCACCCCAAGUUAGUCCUUCCUACAAGAAGUGCAGGGAUAAAGUUGGAGCGGAGACUGAGGGAAUGGCCAACCAAUGCCUGGCCCAACUUGAGACCCAUUCCAUGGGAGAAAUCCAACCCAUGGCACUAUUAAUGAUUCUCUGCUAUGCUUGCAGACAGGAGCCUAGCAUAACUGCCUUCUUCACCCAGCAGCUGACCGAAACACAGCCAAACAUUAGAUGAAGCUUGGAAAGUCUUGUAGGAAGAGUUGGGAGAAGGAUUGAGGGCCCUGGAGGGAAUAGGAACUCCACAGGAAGACCAACAGAGUCAACUAACCAGGACCCUUGGGGCUCCCAGAGACUGAACGACCAACCAAGGAGCGAGCAUGGGCUGGACCUAGCCCCACCCCCCACUCCACCCUGCACAUAGAUGUGCAGCCUGGUGUUCAUGUGGGUCCCC